GUCACUGUUGUUCUUGUUUUUAAUUAUUGUUGCUCCUCCAUCUGUUCCUUUUUUCCUCCUGGAAAUUUUAUCUCCAAACUAUGUGUCCUAAAACUACUUUUUUCACUCAGUAUUUUCAUUUCUUUGUAUUUUUAAAUACUGUGAAAUAAUCCUUACAUUGAUCUUCUAAAAAUCUAAUUUGGUCUUCAGAAGAGAUUAUUAGCCCUUACAAUAGUCUGAAUUUUUCAAUUUGUAAAGCAUUUUAAAGUUAACUCUACAGUAUGGGGAUUCAAAUUGCAUCUUUUUUUAAAAAAAUUCUUUCUAAAGAAAUUUCCAUGUGUCAAAUUUAUUGCUUCUAUAUCAACAGAAAUAUGUUUUCAACUGCUUCACUCGGCUGUUUAUCCCUAUUCCAAGUCUUUUUUCAAUAACAUCAUACUUCAUACCCAUGUGAAAUCAAGUGUGACUUGCUUUUGCCAUUAAAAUGUGCCAAAAAUGUUGCACACAACUUUCAGCACCAAUGCACACUUCCUCUCCCUCUGUCCCCGGAGCCAUCAUUUCAGUUAGUAGCUUUUCUAGCACCCUGAGCCUCAUGGUAAGAAUGAUGCCAUUGAAAUGAGUUCUCCAGUCAGCCCUUGAAGUCUGGGUGGGAAUUAAUCUUAUUUUAAGCUACUUCAUUUUAGAGGCCAUUUGUAAUUGCAGCAAAGUUUAAUAUAUCCUGAUACAGUCCGCUUCAUAUCCAUUCCUCAGAUAACAUUUUAGCUUUCCCAGUCACUGGUGAGUGCUCCUUCAGUAACUUGCAGAGAUUAAGCAAUGGGACUGUCCUCGGGCAGUUGAAAAUCCUAAGUGAAUAGACUGAAUAUUUCUUGUUCUGUUAUGUCAACUGUGCACACCUACGUUCUUCUCUCAGGUUGUAAGAAUGUGUUCUUUCUAAUCUCAGGUUUCAUAUGGGAUGAAUGGCUCCUCCUCUACGUGUCAAGAGCUUUCAACACACCAAUAUGGUAAAAGGAGCAUGUUUAAACUGAGCCUGGGAAACCUGCAAAAUCCUCCAAAGGGCAAAAGCAACAGGGGAGAGAGGGGAUCUGAUGGAGACCACCUUGAGCAAGAUGAAAAUCCAUAAAUUGGCUUUUCAUAUUAAAAGUCUGAGUCUGCCGAUUAGCCCACAAUGGCCUGCCUGAAGAGCCAGCAAGCCAGCAGUAGAUGUGUGGGAAAGGAAUAACUCCCCACACUCCUGGUUACAGCACAGGUCUCAGUGAUCUGUGAUGCUGUGAAGUCUUGGAUGGCAAGACAAUAGAGCACGUAAGGGUGCAUGAGUCGUACUUAAAACUUCUGCAGAGGGAAAAAUGAAUUGACGGGAAGAAACAAAUUUCCCAUUAAUUGAUGAGCUGUUCUUGCUAGACUGUUUCAUCCCCUUGUUGCUAGGAACCUGCUCGCAUCAGUGCUCUUACUUCACUGUUCCCUGCACUGCCCCUUACCCUUUCUAGAAGCUGAAUGUUCAAUACAUAGCGCCAAGCUCCAGGAGAUGCUGUCUUGCCAGAUAAGAGCUCUGACUAGUUUGUGGCACCCAUAUAUGCAUUAAGAUCUUGUCUUUUUAAAAUCCUGCUGCCAUCAGGUGAUUGGGAGUUUGCACAGCUUAUAAUAGGGAUCUCUUACAUUUAGAUUGCCCAGAAAGCUCCCGGCUUAUUCCUGUUGUCCUAGAAUAAUUAUUAAUACUGCUUUAAUCUUCCAGCUUGAAGGAUAAAUUACAUGGUCAAGCUGAUGCUACCCUACUUUCCAAAUGCUAUACAUUGUACAAUAUGCAUAUAUUGUGUUAAAUGAAGAAAGAAC
rnacentral:lncRNA from 1 species